AUUCUCCUAGGGUACGCGUCACUCCACGGCGUGGAAUUCCCAAUUGUUCGACUCAAGCGCGCAUAGUAUUCGGAUUUCCGCUCCAUGUUAUUAGUGUGGCAGUAAAAGCUGUAGUGACUCGCAGCUCCAGAUAUGCUCCGUCAGUCGUUCGUGUCAUCGUCGCAAACUUGUUCGUCUGAGUGUCGCAGGGAGUAGACAUUUUACUUUGAAAAAAUUAGAGUGUUUCAAGCAGGCUUUCGCCAGAAUACUUUAGCAUGGAAUAAUGGAAUAGGACUCUUGUCCAUUUGGUUGGUUAUUGGACCGGAGUGAUGAUUAAUAGGGACAGUUGGGGGCAUUAGUAUUUAAUUGUCAGAGGUGAAAUUCAUGGAUUUAUUAAAGACUAACUUAUGCGAAAGCAUUUGCCAAGGAUGUUUUCAUUAAUCAAGAACGAAAGUUAGGGGAUCAAAGACGAUCAGAUACCGUCCUAGUCUUAACUAUAAACGAUGUCGACUCGGGAUUGGAAAGGUAACAUUUAUCCUUUCCAGCACCGUAUGAGAAAUCAUUAAGUCUUUGGAUUCUGGGGGGAGUAUGGUCGCAAGGCUGAAACUUAAAGGAAUUGACGGAAGAGCACCACCAGGCGUGGGACCUGCGGCUUAAUUUGACCCAACACGGGAAAACUUAUUUCAGCAAAACAUGAGUGGGAUUGACAGAUUGAGAGCUCUUUCUUGAUUUUAUGGGGUGUGGUGCAUGGCCGUUCUUAGUUGGUGGAGUGAUUUGUCUGGUUAAUUCCGUUAACGAACGAGACCUUGACCUGCUAAAAUAGUCAAUAUGUGAACAACAUAUUGUACUUCUUAGAGGGACUAUGGGUUACAAGCCCAUGGAAGUUUGAGGCAAUAACAGGUCUGUGAUGCCCAUAGAUGUUGAAAGCGGCACGCGCGUCAUACUGUCCUGUAACAGCAAGUUUAUUCCUCUCUUGGCAAAGUAGGGGUAAUCUAUAAAACAGGACGUGGUAGGGAUAGAUCUUUGGAAUUAUAGAUCUUGAACGAAGAAUGCCUAGUAAGUGCAAGUCAUCAACUUGUGCUGAUUACGUCCCUGUCCUUUGUACACACCGCCCGUCGCUCCUACCGAUUUCGAGCGAUAUGGUGAAUCUCCUAGACCGUGGGGCUCCCUGAGGGCUUCGUGGAAAGUUUAGUAAACCUUAUCGCUUAGAGGAAGGAGAAGUCGUAACAAGGUAGCCGU
rnacentral:rRNA from 1 species